rnacentral:miRNA from 1 species
AAAGUUGGGGGUGGGGUAGAGUGGCAGGGAGGUUUGUUUCUAUAACAACACUAAUCUUAUAAGAUCAAAAUUCCAGUCAUAUUCCCUCAUCUCU